rnacentral:rRNA from 1 species
CCUACGGGUGGCAGCAGUGGGGAAUCUUUCACAAUGGGGGGAACCCUGAUGCAGCGACGCCGCGUGCGUGAAGAAGGCCUUCGGGAUGUAAAGCUCUGUUAGCAGGGAAGAAGAAGGACGGUACUUGACCAAGAAGCCCCGGCUAACUACGUCCAAGCAGCCGCGGUAAUACGUAGGGGGCAAGCGUUAUCCGGAUUUACGGGGUAUAAAGGGAGCGUAGAUGGCAGGGCAAGUCUGGAGUGAAAGGGAGGGGCCCAACCCCUGGACUGCUGGGGAAACUGUCCGGCUGGAGUGCAGGAGAGGUAAGUGGAAUUCCUAGUGUAGCGGUGAAAUGCGUAGAUAUUAGGAGGAACACCAGUGGCGAAGGCAGCUUACUGGACUGUAACUGACGUUGAGGCUCGAAAGCGUGGGGAGCAAACAGGAUUAGAUACCCGUGUAGUC